UACAGAGGUCCCAAGCGUUGUUCGGAUUUACUGGGCGUAAAGGGUGCGUAGGUGGUUGGGUAAGUCUGAUGUGAAAUCUCCGGGCUUAACCCGGAAACUGCCAUUGAUACUAUUUGUCUCGAAUACUGUGGAGGUCAGCGGAAUAUGUCAUGUAGCGGUGAAAUGCUUAGAUAUGACAUAGAACACCAAUUGCGAAGGCAGCUGGCUACACAAAUAUUGACACUGAGGCACGAAAGCGUGGGGAUCAAACAGG
rnacentral:rRNA from 1 species